UCCAUUCAUCUAUAUUUUUGUCCAUCCAUCUAUCCAUCCAUUCAUCUACAUUUUUGUCCAUCCGUCCAUUCAUCCAGUCAGUCAGCCUCCUAUCCACGAACAUGUUUGUCUGUCUGGCUGUGUACUGGGAACCUGUGCAUGGGCCACAAGCAAAAGUUUUCCCUGUAGCUCAUGGGGCUGGCAAUGAGGCUGACCCUUUGGCUCACCUCCCUGCCACAUUCCACACUCCAGAGCCCACCAGGCAGCCUCACCCACCACAUGCCCAUCAGAACGACACAUCCUGGGACUUCUUGUCAUUUCCUGUCCAAGAUUCCAUUAUGAGGUGUGAUUGCUGAAGUAUUAGACAGAUAACGGAUCAGUCCGAGCCCCGCCUGGCGCACCGGGCAGCUGCCGGGUUUUUCCCAUUAGCCACAGGGCUUGACGGACAGUAAUGGAUUUCAUACUGAUGCUGGAGCCUGCGGCGGAUAAUUCCGUGAUAACAGUUUAUCACCCACUGACGGGAGGUAAUGGGUAAUCACCAGGAAGAAAGCAAACCCAUCAGGGAGCCCUGGCCUCCGCCCAGCCUGGCUCUACCUUUGUUGUGCCAACUGCCACUUUCCAACUCGAGGGCCAACUCCCGUCUGUGUCCUGAAGGAUGGCAGAGCUGCUGGUCCACUGCGCAUCAAGCCCCAGCCACCUUCCUUUCCACUGAGACUUGCAGCAAACUUGGGAGAAGACGAAGUGAGGGUUUCAAGGACAAAGCAACCAGUACAUCCUCUAGUCCAGUCCUCCUAUGCACAGCCCCAGGCUCCAGGCCAGGAUAUCAGAGGGAGACUUUGGCUACAGUGUGUGUGCCCCGGCUGUGUUCUCUGCAUCCUAGAAAGCACUCACUGGAUCCAGGGUGGUGAUGACCCCCUGCCACCACCUUCCGUCUCCUUGGGGGGGUCCCCUGCCCCCAUCCUCACCUUCAUAAACACUUGAGUAUGCCAUCUGUCCCUCACCAGGACUUCCCCAAUAGACACUGUCUCUUCCAAAUCUGCAGAAGAAAAUAAAAUAAAAUGAAUGGA